CCUACGGGAGGCAGCAGUGAGGAAUAUUGGCCAAUGGGCGCAAGCCUGAACCAGCCAAGUCGCGUGAGGGAUGACGGUCCUAUGGAUUGUAAACCUCUUUUGUCGGGGAGCAAUGCCCGCCACGUGUGGCGGGCAGGAGAGUACCCGAAGAAAAAGCAUCGGCUAACUCCGUGCCAGCAGCCGCGGUAAUACGGAGGAUGCGAUCGUUAUCCGGAUUUAUUGGGUUUAAAGGGUGCGUAGGCGGAAUGUUAAGUCAGCGGUCAAAUGUCGGGGCUCAACACCGGCCUGCCGUUGAAACGGGUCUUCUUGGGGGGGCGGGAAGGAUGGGGAAGGCGUGGUGUAGCGGUGAAAUGCA
rnacentral:rRNA from 1 species